rnacentral:rRNA from 1 species
UACGGGGGGGGCAAGCGUUGUUCGGAAUUACUGGUCGUAAAGGGCUCGUAGGCGGCCAACUAAGUCCGACGUGAAAUCCCCAGGCUUAACCUGGGAACUGCGUCGGAUACUGGAUGGCUUGAAUCCGGGAGAGGGAUGCGGAAUUCCAGGUGUAGCGGUGAAAUGCGUAGAUAUCUGGAGGAACACCGGUGGCGAAGGCGGCAUCCUGGACCGGCAUUGACGCUGAGGAGCGAAAGCCAGGGGAGCAAACGGG